rnacentral:rRNA from 1 species
AUUGAACGCUGGCGGCAUGCCUUACACAUGCAAGUCGAACGGUAACAGGCCGCAAGGUGCUGACGAGUGGCGAACGGGUGAGUAAUGCAUCGGAACGUGCCCAGUCGUGGGGGAUAACGCAGCGAAAGCUGCGCUAAUACCGCAUACGAUCUCUGGAUGAAAGCGGGGGACCGCAAGGCCUCGCGCGAUUGGAGCGGCCGAUGUCAUAUUAGGUAGUUGGUGGGGUAAAGGCCCACCAAGCCAACGAUCUGUAGCUGGUCUGAGAGGACGACCAGCCACACUGGGACUGAGACACGGCCCAGACUCCUACGGGAGGCAGCAGUGGGGAAUUUUGGACAAUGGGCGCAAGCCUGAUCCAGCAAUGCCGCGUGCAGGAAGAAGGCCUUCGGGUUGUAAACUGCUUUUGUACGGAACGAAACGGCUCUGGUUAAUACCUGGGGCUAAUGACGGUACCGUAAGAAUAAGCACCGGCUAACUACGUGCCAGCCGCCGCCGUAACAC